UUUGUUGUAUGUUAUGGCAGUAGGUCACACUAACAUUUCAUACAAGUUUACAGUAAUUGGAGAAUAAGUUUCAGUCUGCAGGUCUCUAUUUAGAUGCAUGGGCUUUCCAAUGUUUAUAGUGCCUCAGGAUUCUUGGUUAUUCAGUACCAGAAUAUAUUUUCUGUUUCGAAAGAAAUAUGCUGGAUUUCCGUUCCUGUUGAUCUUAUUCCCAUAUUUUUUAGAUCAAUCUUUUUGUCUUAACCAAAUGU
rnacentral:lncRNA from 1 species